CAGCUGUCCAUUCAGAAAACAGGACAGAAAUUUCCCAAUGAAAACCAUCCGUGAAGUAGUGCAUGGGAAAUGAAAUGGCAGCACCAGCCCGUCAGUGACUGUGAAGAAGCCAUGGCGUCCGCCCUCACCUGGGCUUCCUUUGGCUUGCCUCAUUAAUCAGCUCCCCAGGUCAUCCGGGUGUCUCGCCUCAGGCUCACAGGUCCAAGUUUGCAGCCCAUGGAGAGCCUGGGAGGCGAAGGCAAAUGGUGCAGAUGAGCCUCGGAAGAGCUGGUAGGCAAGAAACAUUGAACAGAGGCAAGAGAUGGGAAUUUUGUGGCAGGGGGAUUUUGGCUGAAGGUGGGAGCAGAGGGUGAAAGGAAUAGGAGGGCUCGGUUUAGACAACUGGACUAGGAUAAGCCAUGGAAGGGUACUGGGAGGAGCA